CUCAGGAUAGCUGGAACUUAUGAAGAAAGUAGUUUUAUCAGGUAAAGCGAAUGAUUAGAGGCUUUGGGGAAGAAACUUCCUCGACCUAUUCUCAAACUUUUAAAUAGGUAAGAUUUGAAGGAUACUUAAGUGAUCUUUCAAUCUCUUGAAUAUAAAGUUCUUAGUGGGCCAUUUUUGGUAAGCAGAACUGGCGAUGUGGGAUGAACCGAACGUUAAGUUAAAGUGCCAAAAUAAUACGCUCAUGAGAUACCAUAAAAGGUGUUGGUUCAUUUUGACAGCAGGACGGUGGCCAUGGAAGUCGGAACCCGCUAAGGAGUGUGUAACAACUCACCUGCCGAAUGAACUAGCCCUGAAAAUGGAUGGCGCUUAAGCGUAUAACUUAUACUUAACCCUUACUUGAAUUAUUAUAACGAGUAAGGAGUAGGAGGG
rnacentral:rRNA from 1 species